GACGAACGCUGGCGGCGUGCUUAACACAUGCAAGUCGAACGAAGUGGCGAACGGGUGAGUAACGCGUAAUCAACCUGCCCUUCAGAGGGGUACAACAGUGGGAAACGACUGCUAAUACCUCAUACUGAAGGAGGGGAUUGCGUCUGAUUAGCUAGUUGGAGGGGUAACGGCCCACCAAGGCGAUGAUCAGGAGACGGGCUGAGAAGAUGAACGGGCAAAUUGGGAAUGAGAAACGGCCCAGACUCCUACGGGAGGCAGCAGUGGGGAAUCAUCCGAAAUUGACGAAAGUCUGACGGAGCAACGCCGGGGGAGUGGUGAAGGGCUUCGGGUUGGAAAGGUCUGUUAAUCGGGACGCGGUACCGGAAUAGAAAGCCACGGCUAACUACGUGCCAGCAGCCGCGGUAAUUC
rnacentral:rRNA from 1 species